CAGCCGUAAACUAUGCGCGUUAGGUGUACUGGUGACCACGAGUCACCGGGGUGCCGAAGGGAAACCGUGAAACGUGCCGCCUGGGAAGUACGGUCGCAAGGCUGAAACUUAAAGGAAUUGGCGGGGGAGCACAACAACGGGUGGAGCCUGCGGUUUAAUUGGACUCAACGCCGGACAACUCACCAGGAACGACAGCAAUAUGUAGGCCAGGCUGAAGACCUUGCCUGAAUCGCUGAGAGGAGGUGCAUGGCGUAGACGUCU
rnacentral:rRNA from 1 species